rnacentral:rRNA from 1 species
AUUGAACGCUGGCGGCAGGCCUAACACAUGCAAGUCGAGCGGAUGAAGGGAGCUUGCUCCUGGAUUCAGCGGCGGACGGGUGAGUAAUGCCUAGGAAUCUGCCUGGUAGUGGGGGGCAACGUUUCGAAAGGAACGCUAAUACCGCAUACGUCCUACGGGAGAAAGCAGGGGACCUUCGGGCCUUGCGCUAUCAGAUGAGCCUAGGUCGGAUUAGCUAGUUGGUGAGGUAAUGGCUCACCAAGGCGACGAUCCGUAACUGGUCUGAGAGGAUGAUCAGUCACACUGGAACUGAGACACGGUCCAGACUCCUACGGGAGGCAGCAGUGGGGAAUAUUGGACAAUGGGCGAAAGCCUGAUCCAGCCAUGCCGCGUGUGUGAAGAAGGUCUUCGGAUUGUAAAGCACUUUAAGUUGGGAGGAAGGGUUGUAGAUUAAUACUCUGUAAUUUUGACGUUACCGACAGAAUAAGCACCGGCUAACUCUGUGCCAGCAGCCGCCGUAAAAC